AGAUACACGAGUGCUACUUGGUUAGGAAUACUGUAUCGGCUUUUAUUCUAGUGUAGUGCAGGGUCCCAGGUCCCAUUCCUCGCAGCAGCCUGGGGCUUCCGAGCUAGAAGUACAGCUGUCCAGGGCGGACCGCAGCGCCUGGGUCACUCGUUCCACCCGGUCCGCGGGUCGCCCCGCGGAAGUGGAGCAGCCUCCCUGCAGUGCAUCCAGGAAAGCCGGCAGCUGCGAGGGCAGGGAGAAGAGCGGGGCGACGCGGAACGGGGAGGGCACAGAGUCUGGGUGCAGCAGCCCGUCGAAGUAGACCCCGACGUAGCGGCCGGUCGCCCGGCCUUGCAGGAAAUCGGGUAGCACGCAGCUGAGCCAGGCGGCGAGGGCGUCAUGCGGCCCGGGCUCCACUGUCUGGAGCUGCAGCCACUGCUGACACUGCGCCACGGCCGCGGGCGAGAAGAGAAGGAUUACCACGCCACCCUCCUGCAGGAUACGGCGUCGCUGGUGGUGGAACCAGGCUAGGGCUCCGUGCGCGCUCAGCUCGCGGCGGCUCCACAGGUCCACGGCCACGCGCAGUGGCAUCUGGCUCAACGCGGACGCCAGUGCUCCCACCAGACGCUCGUAGCCCGCUCCGUCGGCGGAGUGGAGGAGCAAGGCCGUGCGGGAGCCACGGGCCGCUACAGGGAUAGUGGAGCCUGUGAGGGUGAGCCCGGACCUGCCUUCCCUCCACCCAAUUGAGCCCCAGCGCCACUGUUUGAGACUGUCCUUGGGAAACCAGGACAGGAAAGCACUCACCUUUCCUGCGGUCCUUUUUUAGAAGGAGGAAGAAGAAAAGCGCCGCAGCCAAGAGUAGGCAGGCCAGCCAUACUAGGACCCAGCGCCUGUGGAUGUCUGGAAUAGACAGGGGAAAAUAAUGGGCUAGUAAGAAACCUUUAUCUUUUACUCCACCUUAUCGGAGGAGAAAAAAAAUGAGUCUAUAUACAUGAAGUGAUCUGCCCCAAAGUCGCAUUUGUCAGAGCCCACGCACUGAAAAAGCUCCAUGUGUCUCUGUGACCUGCCUCCGUUUCCAUGCCUGUAAAUAUGGACAACAGCAUCAAGUGCAUUCAGAUUGCAGCUGAUAUUGCCCCUGAAGCCUAGGGUUACAGGCCCUUAAUUUUGCUGUCUUGCAUGAUUGCAAUAGCCCCUAUCUUUCCGCUUACAGUCCAUUCACUCUAUGGGGAACCACCAAGAUCUGUUUAAAAUAGGUUUAUUCUAGCCCUUGAGGGAGCUGGUGUUGCUGGGGACAUAAAAUCCUACACCCUAUUGGGCCUCCCAUCUUCUUCCCAAGACCCUCUAACCACACUGACAGCUUUGGAAACUCUCAAAAAUGUACUUCACAGUCUUAAAACUGCAGCUUGACUCCUCUCAACUAGCAGAGGCUUCCCGGUGUGUCUAGGACCUUUCCCCUGAACCCUUCAUCCACCUAAACCAGGUCCUGGCUGCGCUCAUUCACUGCACUGAACCCAUAACUAUUACUGUAAGAUCGCAAACAGUCAACAGCUCAUACUGGCCCUGUCCUUUUAGAUUUCUGUUGCUGUGGGCAGGCUAUGUCUUUUUAGUGAUUCUGGGAUCCCUAAAAGUGUGUUUUUAUCCCUGUCCCUCCUCCAACCCCACCCUUGAGGGGCACACAUGCCAUAGAGCUUGUGUGAAGGUCAGAGGACAACUCAAGAGAGUCCAUUCAUGUUGGUCUCAGGGAACUCAGGUUUUUUUUCAGAUUUGGUGGCAAAUGUCUUUACCAGCUGAGCCAUCUUUCUCCCUCUCUGUGGUUUUUGACUGGUUGAAAGGAAUGCUGCUGUGACUUAUUUGAGCCUGGCGAAGCAUCACAUGUUGCCUCAGCACUGAGGUCCCUGUCAGAGUCAGCUGCUGGCACACAAGAAGAACAGUUCCCCUCGUACUCACACUUGUCCAUGGGGCAGGCCCAUAGCGAUCCCAUGUUGUCAUCGUUCCACAGCUGUAAGACACAACCACAGUCCCUGGCUUGGUGUUCAACGGCGAAUCAUUUCUGGCCAGCUUAUUCACAUUCCUAGCCUCAGCGAUGCAUACUUCCUUGCCCAGGGCAGGCCCCAGUGGAUACCUCUGCUUUUGCUCAAACUGUGCCCAAGCUGACCUCUGUGCCAAAUGGGGCCUUGCCAGAUUCUUCCUCAAAGCUCUUUCUAGAACCUAGCACUGACUGGGGGUGUGUAUCAUUUAACUGGGCUCUAGUCAGAGUGAGCACCUGUGGGACAGGCAUGAUAUCGCCUACCCUUUACCUACCUAGGCUAGUCAGAGAGCAAGCAGACACACGCAGGCACCAGGGCAAGUUCUGUCACCAACUCACCUGCAUACACUGGUGUGAUCGGAAGUCUUGCAGCAACUCCUCUCCCAGGCGAGCAGCUCUCUGCCAAGGCAAAGGAGUGGGAGGGGCUGUCACCCGGGGCAGCAUGUAAGGUGCUGCAGUAGAGCAGGGCUGUUUGUCAAGAGGAGCUAAGAGACUUACAAAGCCACUGAGAAGGAAUGUGUGUGCGUACACACAAGCAAGGGCACGCGAAUACGUCGCCCCCCCAACCCCCCCCCCCCCCGCACUGUAUUCCCAGAAGCAGUACUGGCCCUGGCAGAGAAUGAUAGAGUAAAGUAAGGUGGGAUACAGUGACUGAGAAGAGAAGUAAGAAUAUGAGGCCGUGCAUGAGAUGCGUCUGGAAGCAUCUAGCGACGGUUCCUUCGUCCUCACCGUGGAGGCCAUGCUGGGCAGUGGUGUACAGCCACUGGGUUCCAAGGCACAGACUGAUGUGUUGUUGAGGCCGGUUUUCAUCUCCACUAACAGCAUAUCAUCCUUGAAGGGCCCCAAGGAGUCUGGGAGGAGGGAGAGGCCACUCUAGUAAGACCCACUUGGGCUUUGCCUUCCUCCCAUCCCCCGACCUUUACCCCCCGGGAGGCAGCUCCUCCAAGGUGCCCCCCAUGGCAGUGGCCCUGCCCCACUCACCAGCCCACAAGCACGCUUGCAGCUGAACCUUCUCCCAGGUGCUCACCUGCUUAGAAGGAGCCAGAGUUAGGAGCGCUAGGAAAAGCAAGAGCCAGGGUCAGGAAGUCCAAGAGGGAGGGUGCAGGCAAGAGGAAGACCAUCAGGCCGGCUCUGCACUCUGGACCUGAGGUUCGGCAGAGCUGAGUUCAGGCUGCAGGAUUAGGAGUCACCCAUUUCUCAGACCAGGCUUUGGGAGGGAGGACGCCUGUGCUGACUGAAUUUACAACCUUAAGCUCUGUCUGCACUUAAAACAUCUCCACAUCUGACACCUCAAACAGGAGACUCUCUCCCUCACCUAGUCACCCACUGAGGAUCACAGCCUCCGUUCCUUCGCCUCUUCCCAUAGCAUGUGAUUGCACGUUAACAUGCGUCCUUAAAGCACACUGUUCGCUUUCCUUGAUGAGAAAUAGGUUCUGUGAGGACAGGGACAUUUGCCAGCUUUGCUCAUGGACAGCUCAAUCUCAAAGCGACCGGCACAUAGUCGAUACUCAAUAUUUGUCUCGAAACAGUAUCGUGCUGUAGCCUAGGCUGGCCUGGUACUCACUGACUAGCUCAGACCAGGUGGCCUCAAACCCAGGGGAGCCCACAUAUCCUCCUGCCUCAGUCUCCCAAGUGCUGGGAAUGUAGGCAUGAGCCUCUGUGCCCAGUUAAAUCUUGAAUGAAUGCUUUUGUUUUUGAAUUU
rnacentral:lncRNA from 1 species